rnacentral:rRNA from 1 species
UCGCCUGUUUUUCAAAAACAUCGCCUCUUGCUAAAAUAUAAGAGGUCCAGCCUGCCCAGUGACUAAGUUCAACGGCCGCGGUAUCCUAACCGUGCGAAGGUAGCGUAAUCACUUGUUCUUUAAAUGAGGACUAGUAUGAAUGGCACCACGAAGGUUACGCUGUCUCCUUUUUCUAAUCAAUGAAACUGAUCUCCCCGUGAAGAAGCGGGGAUAAAUAUAUAAGACGAGAAGACCCUAUGGAGCUUUAAACUAUAUAGCACUGGCCCCUACUUUAUUAAAUUCCAGAACUACAAUACCUAUUCUAGCCUUAAUGACUAUUAGUUUUAGGUUGGGGUGACCGCGGAGCAAAAAUUAACCUCCACAUUGAAAGGAGCAUCUUCUGAGCUUAGAACUUCGUCUCCAAGCACCAAUAAACUGACAUACAUUGACCCAAUAUUUUGAUCAACGAACCAAGUUACCCUAGGGAUAACAGCGCAAUCCACUUUGAGAGCCCUUAUCGACAAGUGGGUUUACGACCUCGAUGUUGGAUCAGGGUCUCCUAGUGGNGCAGCCGCUACUAAUGGUUCGUUUGUUCAACGAUUAAAACCCUACGUGAUCUGAGUUCAGACCGGA